AACCUGCUCAUGUACACUCAAUCCCUUGUGUCACGCAGCAGUUGACACACAGGAUGGGGAGAAGCUCUUUCCGUUUGGACUGGAGGAGCACGCAGAGGGAUGCUCUGACAACUGCCUCAACGGUCACACCUGGCAGGUGGAUGACCACGCCACCCGUUGCCAUGGAUUCUUGGAACACAACACAUGCAGUAAAGCUUGAGGCCAAGCCUGCUGCCCGUUGCCUCUUGUGCUGCUAGGCCUGAAGGAUGCUCCACAUUAAGAGCAAGGCAGGAAGGUCCUGC
rnacentral:lncRNA from 7 species